rnacentral:rRNA from 1 species
GCAUACGACCAAUUAGCCCUGGAUGCAAUCAAUCUUGCCAGAUAUCGUAUGCUAAGCAGGGGUCAAGCGUGGUUACUGCUUGGAUGGGAGGCCGCCUGGGUGUUCCGGGUGCUUUGUGGGCU